rnacentral:lncRNA from 1 species
UGAUGAAGAAAUGGUUGAAGACCAUUUCUUCUUCGUUUUUACUUGCGACAAGGAUAUCAUCCAAAUAGACAAAAAUUAAAUCUAGACCAGAAAGUACUUCGUUCAUGAAGCGUUGGAACGUUUGGGCGGCAUUUUUGAGGCCAAAGGGCAUUCUCAAAAAUUCGAAUAAGCCAAAUGGUGUUGAAAUCGCUGUUUUGGGAAUAUCUUCUUCAGCCACAGGUACCUGAUGGUAUGCACGUACAAGAUCGACUUUAGAAAAUAUUGUACAACCAUGAAGAUGCAGAUUGAAGUCAUGGAUAUGAGGUAAUGGAUAGCGAUCAGGUAUUGUGGCAAGGCACCAUGUGCAAUGGGGAAGAAACUUGUGAAGAAGAUGGCCGACAGAUUCCAAGUGAUACCAUGUGUUCAAAUUCUUUUUUAGCGAUAGAAAAUUUUAUGGGGUCUAAACGUCUUGGACGACAAAACGGCAAGUGAGUGUUUGUAAUGAUUCGAUGUUGCGUUGUGUGUUUAAUUGGAGAUAAAAAAUUAGGUGAUGAAGUUAAUUUUGGGAAAGAUUUAACGAGAGAAGUGAAUUUAGUUUCGAUAGAGAAGAGUUUGGGUAUUGGUAUAAAAGAUUUUUUGAUGCUACCUAUUGAAGAUAAUUUGGUAGUAUUAUCAAUUAAACGACGAUUUUUGAUGUCGACGAUAAUGUCGAAUUUGUUUAAGAAAUCAGCGCCAAUAAUUGGUUUGUUGACAUCAGCAAUUGUGAAAACAUGUGGAAAAUUUCUUCUUAAUUGCAAUGUUAAUGUUAACAAUUUUUUUCCAUAGGUAAUUAUUGGCGUACCAUUUGCAGCCGUUAAUGUAGAAAUGGUAUCUCUCUUAUGUUUACGAAAGAAUUUAUAAGGCAGCACAGAGAUGUCUGCUCCUGUAUCAAUCAGAAAAUUUAAAUUGGAUUGGUUAUCGUAAACAUAAAGACGAGAACUGAUUUGAUUAAUUAUCGGGUGCGUUCGUCGUUCAUUGAAUUGUUUUGAAUCAAGUUUUGAAUUUAUUGAAUUGUUGUUCUCUAGCGAAACUUGUUUCAGUUUUUUUGGUUCUGUGAAGAUGAUGAAAGAUUUGUGUCUUUAAAGGAAUUAUAAAACAUACAUUCUUUUUCGCAGUUUCGUGCUUUAUCGCCAUACUUGGAAUGAUAAUAACAGAUAUGGUUUUGACGUUGCCUGGAAGAACUUCUUGGACGAGGUGAUCGAUACCUUAACAUCUUACAAUUAUAGCAAAGAUUUGUUGCUAUGUCAGGUUCGUUAAGUCGAGCAGCAAGAGAGUUAAUGCUCGUCUGGAUAUUUGAUUGCCAUUGAUGAAGUUGUUGUGAGUUUUUAUCAAUAGAAACUGAAAGGAAAACGAGUCGUUGAAAAAGAUAAUGAAUCCCAGAUUUUAUCGGCUAUGUUAAGCAAAUCAUUGAUGUCAUCUUUACCUGAAGACAAUAACGCUACCGAGAUAGUUUGGGGCAAUCUUCUCUGCCAAAGUUUUAGCAAUAAAUUUGGACUUACGACUUGCGAUCCACCGACUGUCGAUAACAUACUCCUAUAGAAAUCAGAUGGUUUUUGAUCUCCCAUCUGAGAGCCGGAAAGGAGAUCAUCAAGACGUUUCUCUUCACUUAGAGAAAGCCUAUUGAUCAAAGUGUUUUUUAAAUAUAAGUAUGAAUCGAUAUCCGGUGGAGCAUCUACGACGUCGUAAACAAUCGAAACUAUCUCGGUAGGCAAAUGCGUAAUUACCAAAUUAUAUUUUGUUUUAUCAUUAGUUAUUCUUGACAGGUAG